CGGCGAGUGAAGCGGCAACAGCUCAAAUUUGAAAUCUGGCCCUCGGGUCCGAGUUGUAAUUUGUAGAGGAUGCUUUUGGCGCGGUGCCUUCCGAGUUCCCUGGAACGGGACGCCUUAGAGGGUGAGAGCCCCGUACGGUUGGACACCAAGCCUCUGUAAAGCUCCUUCAACGAGUCGAGUAGUUUGGGAAUGCUGCUCUAAAUGGGAGGUAAAUUUCUUCUAAAGCUAAAUAUUGGCCAGAGACCGAUAGCGCACAAGUAGAGUGAUCGAAAGAUGAAAAGCACUUUGAAAAGAGGGUUAAAUAGCACGUGAAAUUGUUGAAAGGGAAGCGUUUGCGACCAGACCUUUUCCUGGCGGAUCAUCCGGUGUUCUCACCGGUGCACUUCGCCAGGUUUAGGCCAGCAUCGGUUCUCGCAGGGGGAUAAAAGCUUGGGGAACGUGGCUCCUUCUGGAGUGUUAUAGCCCCUUGCAUAAUACCCUUGCGGGGACCGAGGACCGCGCUUCGGCAAGGAUGCUGGCGUAAUGGUCGUCAACGACCCGUCUUGAAACACGGACCAAGGAGUCGAACAGUUGUGCGAGUGUUUGGGUGUUAAACCCUCACGCGUAAUGAAAGUGAACGGAGGUGAGAGCCCUCACGGGUGCAUCAUCGACCGAUCCUGAUGUCUUCGGAUGGAUUUGAGUAAGAGCAUCACUGUUCGGACCCGAAAGAUGGUGAACUAUGCGUGGAUAGGGUGAAGCCAGAGGAAACUCUGGUGGAGGCUCGCAGCGGUUCUGACGUGCAAAUCGAUCGUCAAAUCUGCGCAUGGGGGCGAAAG
rnacentral:rRNA from 1 species